GGGGGGGCUCGGUGCAUUGUGGAGUGAGCACUGCCACUGCUUCUCACCUGCACAGAAAGAGAGCGAAAGCCCUUCUCUAGGUGUUUACACCUAGCCCUCCUCUGCCUUCCCAGUGGAGCGAAGGAAUAACAACAUAAGUCCUGGCUGAAAGUGAGGAAAUGCGCUGUUGCUAGAUCUUAAUCACGACGUUCACAAGAGGCAUGGAUGACACAUCAUUCUGUGUUCCCACUUAUUUGCUGAUAUUUUCCCUUUCAUCCUUUUUUCUUCUGUCUGCGGUAGAUUACAUUAUGAAGCAUGAAGAUUGUCACGACAAAGAGCUGUCACACCUGAUAAGCAUCAUAAAAACACCAACCAAAUCCAAGAAGUUAGAUGGAGUAUACAGGCUGAGCAAACACAAUGAGCAGGUUGUUGCUGUUGAAACUCCGCUGGCAACUCCAGAAGAUGAAUCACCCCUCGUAGUACGAGUAUAUUUCCGUACGAAGCCUUCGCUCUUCUGAUGCCAACCUCCUGUUUCCAACACUGAGGACCAAGCAUCGUACCUGGGGCGACAGAGCCUUCUCCAUAGCUGCCCCCUCCCUCUGGAACUCUUUCACCAAACGCAUCAGAGACUGUACUGAUCCAUCCAACUUCAAAUCACUGAUCAAAACCCACCUCUUUAGAACUGCUUUUAAUGUUUGAUUCAUUGCUGAGCUAUAUAUCUAUAUUUUAGUGUGUUGUUUUUAUUACCUUUUGUUUUCUAAUAACUAAUGUGAAGUAUCUUUGAGUUCCUAGAAAAGCGUUCUAUAAAUAAAUGUAUUAUUAUUGUUAUUAUUAUUAUUAUUAUUUGGGGGUUUUGAUGAACAUUGCAAGGGGUCACCAACUUCCAGUACUUGAGUUUGGUGUAUCUGCUGUUUCUAUCUAUUUGAAUGACUAUGUCUCCUUGACAGAAACUGAAUCAGCAACCUUUUUACUCAUUGAUUAAUAGUAAUAGUCUUUGCUUCAAGCUGUGAAGAUUUGCUCAUUUUCUCUGUAAUAACAUUGUAAAUUUAAUGUCUUUGGAUUUUGGACUGUUAUUUGGACAAAACACGACAUUUGAAGGGCGUUAGGAAAGUGUGUUGAGCAUUUUUCAGUGACUUUUUUUAUAAAAGAAAUUAAACAACGAAUUGAGAAAAUAAUCUGCAAUGAAAAUGUUUGUUAGCUGCAGCUUUAGUUUUGUUUAUAGUGUACAAAAUACGAAAAGUGUAGGCAGAUUGUGUGCAGUUAUCUACCUGUAUUUCACAGUAUCUCACUAGGUCACCACAGUUUUAACCUAAAGCACUGUU
rnacentral:lncRNA from 15 species